GUGGGGAAUAUUGGACAAUGGGGGGAACCCUGAUCCAGCCAUGCCGCGUGUGUGAAGAAGGCCUUUUGGUUGUAAAGCACUUUAAGCGAGGAGGAGGCUACCGAGAUUAAUACUCUUGGAUAGUGGACGUUACUCGCAGAAUAAGCACCGGCUAACUCUGUGCCAGCAGCCGCGGUAAUACAGAGGGUGCAAGCGUUAAUCGGAUUUACUGGGCGUAAAGCGCGCGUAGGUGGCCAAUUAAGUCAAAUGUGAAAUCCCCUAGCUUAACUUGGAAAUUGCAUUGGAUACUGGUUGGCUAGAGUAUGGGAGAGGAUGGUAGAAUUACAGGUGUAGCGGUGAAAUGCGUAGAGAUCUGGAGGAAUACCGAUGGCGAAGGCAGCCAUCUGGCCUAAUACUGACACUGAGGUGCGAAAACAUGGGGAGCAAACAGGAUUAGAAACCCCGGUAGUCC
rnacentral:rRNA from 1 species